rnacentral:lncRNA from 1 species
UCUCCUCUGCCCGUUAUUGUCCUAGUUUCGCUGCCCCGAGAAAGGUAUCGUCCCUCUCUCUGUAUUCUGUUCUCAUUAUAGCACGUUGCGUGUAUUUGAUACUUGUUUUUCUUGUGAGUUUUUGGGCAGUAAGCUUGAAUUCGGUAUUAAUGGAAUUUGCUUCGGAUUCAUGUUGGCCAUGCUUGUCUAUAUCUAUGUGAUUCACGCUUCUAAUGUGUCGGCUAUGCUAUUCUUUCUCCUUUGCUGUCCCUUUGUGUUCCCAACUGCCCUUUGGGUUUAGCUAUCAAAAUGUUCUACUCGUCUUAUUCCCUUUCUAAUCAUUGUAAAUGUGUAAUGGGGUUUGAUGUUAGAUGCCAUUUCCUUCAUUCUCCC